GUGGGGAAUAUUGGACAAUGGGCGAAAGCCUGAUCCAGCCAUGCCGCGUGUGUGAAGAAGGUCUUCGGAUUGUAAAGCACUUUAAGUUGGGAGGAAGGGCAGUAAGUUAAUACCUUGCUGUUUUGACGUUACCGACAGAAUAAGCACCGGCUAACUUCGUGCCAGCAGCCGCGGUAAUACGAAGGGUGCAAGCGUUAAUCGGAAUUACUGGGCGUAAAGCGCGCGUAGGUGGUUUUGUAAGUUGGAGGUGAAAUUCCCGGGCUCAACCUGGGAACUGCCUCCAAAACUGCAUGACUAGAGUACGGUAGAGGGUAGUGGAAUUUCCUGUGUAGCGGUGAAAUGCGUAGAUAUAGGAAGGAACACCAGUGGCGAAGGCGACUACCUGGACUGAUACUGACACUGAGGUGCGAAAGCGUGGGGAGCAAACAGGAUUAGAAACCCUAGUAGUCC
rnacentral:rRNA from 1 species